GACCCUGUUUCAAACAAACAAACAAAAAGCUGGAGAGGAGAGGGGACAGGUGUGUGGCAGGGUGGCUGUGGUGGCCAUGGGGAGGUGUUUGGACCUGGGGGUUGGAGACAGCUCCAUGAGCCCUGCUGAGGAUCAUGGUAGCCAGGCUGGGACCCUGGGCCCAGAGCAGUACUGGCUGACACAUAGGUCUGUGGCCCAGGUGUGGUCUACGACACGUUCAUGCUAAAGCACCAGUGCAUGUGCGGGAACACACACGUGCACCCUGAGCAUGCUGGCCGGAUCCAGAGCAUCUGGUCCCGGCUGCAGGAGACAGGCCUGCUUAGCAAGUGCGAGCGGAUCCGAGGUCGCAAAGCCACGCUAGAUGAGAUCCAGACAGUGCACUCUGAAUACCACACCCUGCUCUAUGGGACCAGCCCCCUCAACCGGCAGAAGCUAGACAGCAAGAAGUUGCUCGGCCCCAUCAGCCAGAAGAUGUAUGCUGUGCUGCCUUGUGGGGGCAUCGGGGUGGACAGUGACACCGUGUGGAAUGAGAUGCACUCCUCCAGUGCUGUGCGCAUGGCAGUGGGCUGCCUGCUGGAGCUGGCCUUCAAGGUGGCUGCAGGAGAGCUCAAGAAUGGAUUUGCCAUCAUCCGGCCCCCAGGACACCACGCCGAGGAAUCCACAGCCAUGGGAUUCUGCUUCUUCAACUCUGUAGCCAUCACUGCAAAACUCCUACAGCAGAAGUUGAACGUGGGCAAGGUCCUCAUCGUGGACUGGGUAGGCAGUGAGCUGGUGGGGCUGGGCAGGGGCGGAUAGAGCUGGGACCAGGGUCAGCCUUCAGGAAGUCUCCUCUCCCAGCCCCACCUCCAAGCACCCCAGUCAUUCUCAUCCUCAGGUGCUGGGUGCGGGUGCAGAAGGAAGGGCGCUGGGGCUUCUGCUGGAUGACUAACGUCACAUUCCAACAGGGCUCCCUCCUCAACUAUGAAAGAUAUUUAGCUCCUAUUCCAUCUUGGCCCUCAUGUUGCAGUUUCAAGCAACGAAGGGGAUUUCCUACCUUGAAUGGUAGUGACACUGCCACCAUUGCUAGUAGCCGAUAUUUCCUCCCACCCUGACAAUUAGGAGCAGACUGUAUACCAGGAACCCAAUGAGUACUUUAUGGCCACCUCGAGUAGUAAGAACGAGGAUGUCCAUUUCUGUGAACAAAGGUGUUGUUGCGUGACUUACCCAAGGCCACUCAGCUGGGGAUGUCGGCACUGGGUUUCAGACCAAGCCUUUUGGCCCCAGCACUCUGCUCUUGCUGCCAUGGGUGCUUCCCAAACCCUGCUUCUAAUGGUGCAGGCAGAGGCACACGCCACUCUCUGUGAGCUGGGGAAGUAGCCAGGAGCAAGCCUCAGGAAGGACAAAAUCUCUUGGAAGUCCAAUUCUAGCUUAAAAAUUCAUCUAAAUGUUGGAUCCUCCUUCAGAACCUUAUGUGCUUGUGGUUGGGCACAAUGGCUCAAAGCCUGUAAUCCCAGCACUUUGGGAGGCCAAGGUGGGUGAAUCACUUGGGGUCAGGAGUUCGAGACUAGCCUGGCCAACAUGGUGAAACCCUGUCUCCACUGAAAAUACAAAAAAAUUAGCUAGGUGUGGUGGCGGGAGCCUGUAAUCCCAGCUAUUGGGGAGGCUGAGGCAGGAGAAUUGCUUGAACCCGGGAGGUGGAGGUUGCAGUGAGUCAAGAUCAUGCCACUGCACUCCAGCCUCAAUGACAGAGUGAGACUCUGUAUC
rnacentral:sRNA from 1 species